rnacentral:rRNA from 1 species
CCAAUAGCGUAUAUUAAAGUUGUUGCAGUUAAAAAGCUCGUAGUUGAAUUUCGGGAUCAAUAUGUCGGUCGUGCCUUCGGUACGUACUGGUAUCAUUGGUUUCUCCUUUCUGACGAACCAUGAUGUCAUUAAUUUGGUGUUAUGGGGAGUUAGGACUGUUACUUUGAAAAAAUUAGAGUGUUUAAAGCAGGCUUUAGCUUGAAUACAUUAGCAUGGAAUAAUGAAAUAGGACGUUCGAACCUAUUUUGUUGGUUUCUAGGAUCAACGUAAUGAUUAAUAGGGAUGGUUGGGGGCAUUAGUAUUCAAUUGUCAGAGGUGAAAUUCUUGUAUUUAUUGAAGACUAACUACUGCGAAAGCAUUUGCCAAGGAUGUUUUCAUUAAUCAAGAACGAAAGUUAGGGGAUCGAAGACGAUCAGAUACCGUCGUAGUCUUAACCAUAAACUAUGCCGACUAGGGAUCGGAUGAUGUUAAUUUUUUAAUGACUCAUUCGGCGCCUUACG